CCCUCCGUAGCUCAGCUGGAUAGAGCAAGGAACUUCUAAUUCCGAGGUCGCAGGUUCGAGUCCUGCCGGGGGGA
rnacentral:tRNA from 1 species